rnacentral:lncRNA from 1 species
UUUGACCAAUUUCCCUUUAGCACCUCACAAACGUGUUCCUCAUAUUUUUAACGAGGCAGUGAGCUGAACUUCUGCUAUUUAAUUUCUUCCUAUUGUUUAGUUUUUUUUCUCUGUUUGGAGUGCCAAAAAAAAAAGAAAAAAGAAUAUGCUUUUUCCUAGAUGCUUGGCUAGAGAUCAUUCAUAUCGAGUUAUAAAAGUAAUCUUUCUGAGUUUAAGUUCUAUGCUGUGAUUAUACAAAAAGAUAGUUUCAUAAUCGGUUAUUUAUAGAGUAAUUAUAGGUAAAAUUUCUAUGAUAAGUAUUAAGGAUGAUUAGUUACUAGUUUUCACAGAUUAUAUUAUAUUAUAGUACAAAAAUCUUUACACUGUCAAGAUCUUUAACAUACUCUUUACUGUUUAUCAUACGAGAUUUCACAAUAUCAUUGAUCCUUUAUCGUUUUCAACUUGCAGGGAACAACACCAAGGGUUGUGGUGAGAUGAGUAUGAUCCCUCCACCCUUAACUAGAGGUCUCUGAUUCGAGCGUUGAGAAUGAAAAAACACUUGGUAUGUGGCGCUUUCCCUUAAUUUGCCUUACGCGGCGUGAGCUCGGAUUAGUCGAAGCUCCAAUAUGUGUACUGAAUAUUAACCGGGGGAACUUUUAAGGGAACAUUUUUAAAUCUAUGUGCAAUAUCAAUGGCUAUAAAGAAAGCUUGAAAAUCUUAAAGUUGCAGAUUUAGACGGGGCAACAUGUUCUUAUGUAGUUCAAAGAUUCUGGAAAUGGAUGUGUUCUGUUGCUACAUUAGUUUUCUCUUCUCUUUCUUUUUUGGGUUUUUUAUUUUCUUGAGUAUUAGGACAUGUUUUAGCUAAUUAAAUGGUUGGUUUUCAUAGAAAACCAUUCUAGUUGAUAAUGGGCAUAUUAUAAUAACAAAGCUUAUAUAGGAGAUUAGGAGUAUUAGUUUAUUUCUUGGGAAAUGCUUUUUCAAUUUGAUUUCGUUAUUUGCAUUAGUCAUGGAUGACAAAACAAAUCCAAUAACUCAUAGAACGCCAAAGCUUAGACUAAACAAAUCCAAUUUUUGUUAUUCAUAUUGAUCAAUGGAUUUUUAGGUCUAACCUAUGAAAUAU